AUUCAACUGACAAGUCCCAAAUAGGACGAGAUACACAUCUUGGAU
rnacentral:hammerhead_ribozyme from 1 species